GGCAUUUGGGGGUGGGAGGGGUGCCCAGAGCUGGCCCAUGUUAAGUAUGGGCAUCAGUGGAAGUAAGAUACCUUUUGAGUGACCACCAUUUUGUUUUGUUUUGUUUUGUUUUGUUUUGUUUUGUUUUGUUUUGUUUUGAACAAAGGGUCUAGCUCAGUGGCCCAGGCUGGAGUGCAGUGGCAUCAUCACGACUGACUGUAGCCUCAACCUCUCAG
rnacentral:lncRNA from 10 species